rnacentral:rRNA from 1 species
GACGAACGCUGGCGGCGUGCUUAACACAUGCAAGUCGAGCGGUAAGGCCCUUUCGGGGGUACACGAGCGGCGAACGGGUGAGUAACACGUGGGUGACCUGCCCUCAGCUCUGGGAUAAGCCCGGGAAACUGGGUCUAAUACCGGAUAUGACUCCAUGACGCAUGUUGUGGGGUGAAAGCCUUGUGCGGCUGAGGAUGGGCCCGNGGCCUAUCAGCUUGUUGGUGGGGUGANGGGCCUACCAAGGCGACGACGGGUAGCCGGCCUGAGA